rnacentral:rRNA from 1 species
UACGAACUGUGCAAACGUUAUUCGGAAUCACUGGGCUUAAAGGGUGCGUAGGCGGCUGUCUAAGUAGGGUGUGAAAGCCCCCCGGCUCAACCCGGGGAAUUGCGCCCUAAACUGGACGGCUGGAGUGAGGCAGGGGUGUGUGGAACUUCCGGUGGAGCGGUGAAAUGUGUUGAUAUCGGAAGGAACGCCGGUGGCGAAAGCGACACACUGGGUCUCAACUGACGCUGAGGCACGAAAGCCAGGGGAGCAAACGGG